UUAAGUUUGGUAGAGUGGUUAAUACGUAUGACUCGGGUAGUUUUCGAUAUCAUAUGCCUUCAGGCACAGCUCAAAUCCUGCAGCUGUCG